GAAAUUCGAUAAUUAAUGUGAAUUGCAGAAUUCAGUGAAUCAUCGAGUCUUUGAACGCACAUUGCGCCCCCUGGUAUUCCGGGGGGCAUGCCUGUCCGAGCGUCAUUGCUGCCCUCAAGCACGGCUUGUGUGUUGGGCUUCCGUCCCUGGCAACGGGGACGGGCCCAAAAGGCAGUGGCGGCACCAUGUCUGGUCCUCGAGCGUAUGGGGCUUUGUCACCCGCUCCCGUAGGUCCAGCUGGCAGCUAGCCUCGCAACCAAUCUUUUUAACCAGGUUGACCUCGGAUCAGGUAGGGAUACCCGCUGAACUUAAGC
rnacentral:misc_RNA from 1 species